UACGUAGGGUGCGAGCGUUAAUCGGAAUUACUGGGCGUAAAGAGCGCGCAGGCGGUCGUUCAAGUCGAGUGUGAAAGCCCCCGGCUCAACUGGGGAGGGUCACUCGAUACUGAUCGACUUGAAGGCAGGAGAGGGAAGAGGAAUUCCCGGUGUAGUGGUGAAAUGCGUAGAUAUCGGGAGGAACACCAGUGGCGAAGGCGGCUUCCUGGCCUGUUCUUGACGCUGAGGCGCGAAAGCUAGGGGAGCAAACGGG
rnacentral:rRNA from 1 species